GAUGAACGCUAGCGGCAGGCUUAAUACAUGCAAGUCGAGGGACAGCACAGGUAGCAAUACUGGGUGGUAACCGGCAAACGGGUGCGGAACACGUACACAACCUUCCUUUAAGUGGGGGAUAGCCCAGAGAAAUUUGGAUUAAUACCCCGUAAUAUAGUUGAAUGGCAUCAUUUGAUUAUUAUAGCUACGGCGCUUAAUGAUGGGUGUGCGGCUGAUUAGAUAGUUGGCGGGGUAACGGCCCACCAAGUCUACGAUCAGUAGCUGAUGUGAGAGCAUGAUUAGCAAAACGGGAACUGGGGCACGGGCCGGACUCCAACGGGAGGCAUCAGUAAGGAAUAUUGGUUAAUGGACGCAAGUCUGAACCAGCCAUGCCGCGUGAAGGAUUAAGGUCCUUUGGAUUGUAAACUUCUUUUAUUUGAGACGAAAAAGGGUCUUUCUAGAUCAACUGACGGUACCAGAUGAAUAAGCACCGGCUAACUCCGUGCCAGCAGCCGCCGUAA
rnacentral:rRNA from 1 species